rnacentral:tRNA from 1 species
GGUCCGUUGGUGUAAUGGUCAACACUACUUGGCUGAUGACCAUAGAAGUUAACCGGUUCGAAUCCGGUACGGGCCA